GGACCCGCACAAGCGGUGGAGCAUGUGGUUUAAUUCGAUGCAACGCGAAAAACCUUACCUACUCUUGACAUACUUGGAAGCUCUUGUAAUGAGAGUGUGCCUUUUGGAACCAAGAUACAGGUGCUGCAUGGCUGUCGUCAGCUCGUGUCGUGAGAUGUUCCGUUAAGUCGGAUAACGAGCGCAACCCUUACCCUUAUUUGCCAGCGAUUCGGUCGGGAACUAUAAGGGGACUGCCGGUGAUAAACCGGAGGAAGGUGAGGACGACGUCAAGUCAUCAUGGCCCUUACGAGUAGGCUACACACGUGCUACAAUGGGGAAUACAGACGGACGCUAAGCCGCGAGGUGGUGCUAAUCCGACAAACCUAGUCGUAGUCCGGAUCGGAGUCUGCAACUCGCCUACGUGAAGGCGGAAUCGCUAGUAAUCGC
rnacentral:rRNA from 1 species